ensembl:lncRNA
GCCAUCCUUUGCCUAUCCAUCCAGAGCCCUCCGUCUGUCUCUGAUGUGUGUUUACCACCUCUCUCUGUCUCCCUUGGAGGUGUCAUCUCUCUCUCUGUGUCUCUGUGUGGUUAUCAUCUCUCUCUCUCUCUCUCUCUCUCUCUCUCUCUCUCUGUGUCUCUGAUGUCUGGUUACCACCUCUCUCUCCCUAGGAGGUGUCAUCAUCUCUCUCUGUGUCUGUGAUGUGUGGUUACCACCUCUCUCUGUCUCCCUAGGAGGUGUCAUCAUCUCUCUCUCUGUGUCUGUGAUGUGUGGUUACCACCUCUCUCUGUCUCCCUAGGAGGUGUCAUCUCUCUCUCUCUGUGUCUCUGUGUGGUUACCACCUCUCUCUGUCUCCCUAGUGUAGUGGCAAAUCGUUUUUUGUUCAGGUGCUGGCAUAGGACCCAAUUUAACAUAUUCGUAACUGUUUCCUUCACUCAGUCCUGUUCUUGUUAUUUCAAUUUCAAAUUCUUCACCUUCUGCUGGUGUCAUCUUGUUCAUGAUAAACUCCCAGCCUUUCACAUAUUUGGUUAGUGUCAGGUCACAUCCUUUGAGGUCCCAAACAGCUUCUCCCUUUGUUAUAUGACGCGUCCAUCCACAGAGUGGCUCCUCCGGUACAGGUUUCUUCUUCCAUACAGAACCUGUCCUCUGUUCCCCUGGUUCUGUUAGAAGUUGUGAGGGAACAUGAAAUUUAAACCUAUCAACAGGUCCUGUCUUUUUACCUCGUUCGACAGGCUCCUCUCUUCUCUUCCUGCUUUUAUCUUUUAUCUUGAUUGUGAGUGCGUGCAUCAUCUUCGUAUUGUCCUCAGUCGCUCUUAUUCUGUCAUUGUCACUGUUCUUUCGUGGUCCUAAUUCCAAUGGUUCAUUAUGGAGAUCAGGUAAGAGCUGAAAAGUCAAUUUUUGGGGAAAUUGCCAUUUUCUUCAGCUCACUCGACUUUUCCUUCUCGUUAGUGGGGUCUCUCCUUCUUUCCUCCCCUGAAGCUCCCUCCUCAGGCCGGACUGGGCUUCCAUUUGGAAGGUGUCCAUUUCAGGGAAGAGAUGUUCCCAUUCUUUAGGCAAUACCUCGGAGCCCCUCUGUAGAGUGCUUCUGUCAAAGAGGCCUGCCCCAACAGGUAUAUCAUCAGGAGUGGCAGACAUGUUACCCCCUCCCACUUCUGGGCUUUCUGGCCAUACUGGAGGAAACUUUGGUCGUUUGUCUCUUUUCUUUUCAGGCUCUUUUCUUUUCAGGCUCUUUUCCCCUGGUGCUUCUUCUGAGUGUGUUAGCUGAUGCACUCGUUGUAUCUGGUCUGCCAUUUUCUUGAGUCCUCCCCGGGGCUUUGAUCGAUUCCUCUGCUCCUGCUCCCUCCGGGGUCCCCUCUGGUGAAUCAGCAUCCUCUGUGUCCUCAUCUCUGUAUGGUUGUGUCCUUCUCUCCGUCGGGACUCGGGUGCAGUGGUUUAGAUGAUACCACGUCUUGCUUCCUUUCACUUGGACGGCCGUGAUUGUGGCCGUUGCCACCUCGUAGGGUCCUUCUCUCCUCGGCUGAUCCCACUUCCUUCGGAACACUCGACCGUAGACUGGAUCUCCUGGUAUCACUGGGAGAGGGCCUUCUGGUCUCCUUGGAUCAUCAGAUGUGGAACCUCUCGUCCUGGUUCAGGUUUCUGCCUUCUUUCUGUGGGGCAUUCAUACUUAAAGACUUAUGGCCUCUGUUCUACGAUUACACCAUACAUUCUCUUACUUCCAUCACUCAUCACACAAACUGACAUUCCAGCUGAAGCUGGCGAACCCUUCUCCAUCUGGUUUCCUAAACAAAAGACUUGUAAAACAAAAGACACAACAUAACAGUAUUGAC